CCUUCUUCUUCUCCAGGAGCUACUUCCUUAUCUUCAUCCAGGGACCUAGGAUUGCCGCCACGUCGCCUAAGGGAUCCUCUUUUGUGCAGGAAUCGCCUUCACCACAGACUCAACAGACCUCUGUCUGUGCCACACCCUCCUGAAGCAUGUGACACACACCCCACCCAGCACCUUAUCCCAGAGAGGGGAGGGAAGAAGUGCUCCUCAUUGGGCUGCUGAGAGGGGCAGGGAGAAGGUAAGGAAUGUCCUCAGCCACAUGGAGAGGGGGAAUGGUGAUACUGCCUCUUGCGUGACAGAGAGAGAGAGAGAGAGAGAGAGAGAGAGAGAGAGAGAGAGAGAA
rnacentral:lncRNA from 1 species